CGGGGAGUAGCGCGGUGGGGCGGGCCCGAAGAGGGGGGGAGCCGUUUGAAAAGACUGCUAUACCCCAUGAGCUCACGAGAAUUAGAGGUCUUUGAGAAAAUGAGAAAUCCGUUUUAGAAGGGCCUGCGCCCCAUAGAGAGGUGGUAGGGUAAAAGCUUCCAAGGCGAUGACGGGUAGGGGACCUGAGAGGUUGGCCCCCCCACAAAGGGAAUUGAAACACGGUCCAUACACCUACGGGGUUGCAGCAGUAGGGAAAUAUUGCUUAAUGGACGAAAGUCUGAAGCAGCAACGCCGCGUGUGCGAUGAAGGCCUUCGGGUUUGUAAAGCACUUUUUGUAGGGAUGAGGAAGGACAGUACCUGCAGAAUAAGCCUCGGCUAACUACGUGCCAGCAGCCGCGGUAAAACGUAGGAGGCGAGCGUUAUCCGGAUUUACUGGGCGUAAAGCGCGUGUAGGCGGAUUACUAAGUUGGCUGUGAAAGCUCCUGGCUUAACUAGGAGAGGUCGGUCAAUACUGGUAGUCUAGAGUAUGUGAGAGGGAGGUGGAAUUCCGGGUGUAGUGGUGAAAUGCGUAGAUAUCCGGAGGAACACCAGAGGCGAAAGCGGCCUCCUGGCACAUUACUGACGCUCAGACGCGAAAGCUAGGGGAGCGAACGGGAUUAGAGACCCCGGUAGUCCUAGCUGUAAACGAUGUAGACUUGGCGUUGGUGGGGUCAAACCCAUCAGUGCCGGAGCUAAC
rnacentral:rRNA from 1 species